rnacentral:rRNA from 1 species
GAUGAACGCUAGCGGCAGGCCUAACACAUGCAAGUCGAGGGGUAGCAGGAUUAAGCUUGCUUAAUUGCUGACGACCGGCGCACGGGUGCGUAACGCGUAUGCAACCUACCUUAUACUGGGGUAUAGCCCGGAGAAAUUCGGAUUAAUCCCCCAUAGUACUAAUGAAUCGCAUGGUUUAUUAGUUAAAGCAUUGCGGUAUAAGAUGGGCAUGCGUCCUAUUAGCUAGAUGGUGAGGUAACGGCUCACCAUGGCUACGAUAGGUAGGGGGCCUGAGAGGGUGGUCUCCCACACUGGUACUGAGACACGGACCAGACUCCUACGGGAGGCAGCAGUGAGGAAUAUUGGUCAAUGGGCGCAAGCCUGAACCAGCCAUGCCGCGUGCAGGAAGAAUGCCCUAUGGGUUGUAAACUGCUUUUACUUGGGAAUAAACCUCUUUACGUGUAGAGGGCUGAAGGUACCAAAUGAAUAAGCACCGGCUAACUCCGUGCCAGCCGCCGCGGUAA